AAGGUAUCUAACAUACAAAGCUAGCAUCCAAAAUAAUAGAGGGAAAGAAAAACUUUCAGAUGGUUCAUCUUGCUAAAAUCAAAAUCCCUCCAAGGAAAAAAUAAAGGUUGUGCUCCAAGAAAUAUGAUAGAACUUAGCAUGGUUUAUGAUAAAAUCCAAACUGAGAACGGGUUUUUAGAGCUAUCAACUGCAGAAAGACAAGAAAUUCAGAUGAAGAAAGCCAAACUAAUUGGUAUGCUUGAUGAGGUGGAGCAAAGGUACAGGCAGUACCAACAGCAGAUGGAGAUAGUGGUUUUAUCGUUUGAUGUUUGAACUUCGAAGAAGAUUGCUUUGGAGGGAAAAUGGAAGGUUCGCGGCUCAAAUAUGUUGACCAUCAUCUUCGGCAACAGCGAGCACUUCCUCUCCUCACUCCACAAUUGCUUAUGAGAGUAUCAGCAUGCAAAACCAAAAGAGGUUUGCUUCACAAUUGAAGGGAGCAGUGUGGUAGCACACUGCUACCACUCGUUGUUUGAGUCCCUCACAAUUUCUUCUUAGUCCCCUGCUAUUAUGUGGGGGAGUGGUGAACAAUUGUAGUGUAAAGAAAGAAGGAAUUACCCUGCAUAGAACCAUUUGAGCUCUAAGGUAGCUUAGGAUUUGAAAGUAUAUGAUUGAGGUUGUAUAUUAUUUUUGUAAGUUCUAAAGGUGGGAUAGAUGGAUUGUUGUCAUAAAUUUUAUUUUGGUAAAAGAUACCAAUAUAUCUUCGAUUGAACAA